rnacentral:rRNA from 1 species
UUGACGGGACCCGCACAAGCGGUGGAUGAUGUGGAUUAAUUCGAUGCAACGCGAAAACCUUACCUACCCUUGACAUGUCCGGAAUCCCGAAGAGAUUUGGGAGUGCUCGCAAGAGAACCGGAACACAGGUGCUGCAUGGCUGUCGUCAGCUCGUGUCGUGAGAUGUUGGGUUAAGUCCCGCAACGAGCGCAACCCUUGUCAUUAGUUGCCAUCAUUUGGUUGGGCACUCUAAUGAGACUGCCGGUGACAAACCGGAGGAAGGUGGGGAUGACGUCAAGUCCUCAUGGCCCUUAUGGGUAGGGCUUCACACGUCAUACAAUGGUCGGUACAGAGGGUUGCCAACCCGCGAGGGGGAGCUAAUCCCACAAAGCCGAUCGUAGUCCGGAUCGCAGUCUGCAACUCGACUGCGUGAAGUCGGAAUCGCUAGUAAUCGUGGAUCAGCAUGUCACGGUGAAUACGUUCCCGGGUCUU